rnacentral:misc_RNA from 1 species
GUGAAUCAUCGAAUCUUUGAACGCACAUUGCGCCCGCCAGUAUUCUGGCGGGCAUGCCUGUUCGAGCGUCAUUUCAACCCUCAAGCCCCCGGGCUUGGUGUUGGAGAUCGGCGUGCCCUCCGGGGCGCGCCGGCUCCCAAAUAUAGUGGCGGUCUCGCUGUAGCUUCCUCUGCGUAGUAGCACACCUCGCACUGGGAAACAGCGUGGCCACGCCGUUAAACCCCCCACUUCUGAAAGGUUGACCUCGGAUCAGGUAGGAAUACCCGCUGAACUUAAGCAUAUCAAUAAGCGGAGGA